UACGUAGGGGGCUAGCGUUGUCCGGAAUCAUUGGGCGUAAAGCGCGCGUAGGCGGCCCGGUAAGUCCGCUGUGAAAGUCCAGGGCUCAACCCUGGAAAGCCGGUGGAUACUGCCGGGCUAGAGUCCGGGAGAGGCGAGUGGAAUUCCUGGUGUAGCGGUGGAAUGCGCAGAUAUCAGGAGGAACACCGGUGGCGAAGGCGGUUCUCUGGGCAUGUCCUGACGCUGAGGAGCGAAAGCGUGGGUAGCAAACAGG
rnacentral:rRNA from 1 species